rnacentral:rRNA from 1 species
AAACAUGUUCUUCUCUUUUAAUAUAAGAUAAAACCUGCUCUGUGAUUAUUAUGAUUUUAGCAGCCGCAGUAAAUUGUGCCAAGGUAGCAUAAUCAUUUGUCUUUUAAUUGAAGUCUGGAAUGAAAGGUUAAAAUUGAUUAAUAAGCUUUAAAAUUUUAAAUAAAAAAAUUUUAAUUUUAAGUAAAAAUGCUUAAGUUAUUUAAAGGGACGAGAAGACCCUAAAAUUUUUAAAUUUUAGUUUCAUUUAAAAUUAAAAUUUUUAGUUGGGGCAAUUAACUUAUAAAACUUUUUUUUUAAAAACACUAUAAGUGAAAAUAAAAGAAAAAAUUUUUAACUUAAAUCAUAAUUACUUUAGGGAUAACAGCGCAAUAAUGAGUAAGGAGAUCAGUUUUGAAUUCAUGAUUGCGACCUCGAUGUUGAAUUAAGCUAGCUUAAAGAGUAAAAGCUUUAAGGUUCUAGUCUGUUCGACUAUAAAGGCUUACGUGAU